CUGAUCUACGAGGAGAUCCGCCGCUUGUAAAGCAAUGUCUGGACGUGGUUUAAGGAACAUACCAGGCGCCACCGUCACCACAACUUCGUCAGGCGCUUCGCAACAUCCAGGGAGGCGCACGUCAAGAGAAUCUCCAGGAUUAUCUACCAGAGGACCAGCGGUGUUUUAAACGCUGGAGCGUGAAAGCAUCCCAUACUGGAUGAACAGUAAUGCGGUCAGCCUUGUGUCAACCAUCUCUACAAUUACCUGAAGGACAUACACGUGCACGCACCGCACAUUACAAGCUGAUGCGAAGGGUUUGGAGGGCUUACAGGAUCGAUACCAUCGGGUCCAGAUCUAUCGACCACAGCGAUGUUUAUGACGAGAGUCUGCCCAUGGCCGUGAGUGGCAAGGUCGCCAUUACUAUGCCCAAAAAAGCCAGUAGAAGCCGAGAAUAUUUCUUUGUAUGACUAAAUUCGUCUGACGGGUAGAGCGUUGUUGGAGUUGUAAAAUGAAGAAAACAAGAAAUGGACUUGAUUGCCGUGACGUGCCAUGAUGUAAAUGUUUUGUGAUGUGCAUUUGUAGCCUGGCCGAAGUUAUGAUUCCCUGUCUAACUGGAGUAUUGUUGGCAGAGAUAAACACGGUUCCUUGGUCGGUGGUAAGGUGCUUCCAUGUGUUUUGUUAACAUCAUGAGUGAUGUUUUCUGGUCGGUGGUUAAG